rnacentral:lncRNA from 1 species
CAUGUCAAGCACGAAAUCGUUAUUUCACACUCAACCACACUAUAAGCCUAAGUGGGCCCAAGCCACUCAAAUGCCUGGGACUUGCUUGAGUGAGUUGUGGUAUGGAUGGUAAUAAAUCAACAUGAGGCCCAUUGAUGGGCCGAGAAAUGGAAAGUCUCGGGUUGCUUGGGAGCCUCGGAACUCGAGCCCAUUUUAUAUGCCCAAACAUGUUGGUGAGCACAAGAGAGAAAAAAUAGCCCAAUAGCCUGAUCAAAAUAGCCUAUUGACUCAACCAAAAAGCCCAAUGUUUAAUAAAAAUAGCUCACUUACCACCUUAUCCCAUACAAUUGCCAUAAUGAGCCACAAAAACUCCAGCCCCUUGCUAAAAAAAUAGAAGCCACGAAGAGAAGGUCUAAAGGUUCACUGAACAGAGCUGCUGGGAGGUUCCAGAACAUGGGGGGAGCAAGUUUCAAAGCCAAAACAUUCAAGGAACUAAGGGGUAUUAGCGUGUAAGAUGCCAGGAAGAGAAGCACCCUUCAAACCAGCAUAUAUAUCCCAACUCCAUUCCCCAUCAGACUUGGC